rnacentral:Y_RNA from 1 species
GGCUGGACCAAAGGUAGUGAGUUAUCUCACUUGAUUGUUCAAAGUCAGUUACAGGUCGAACUCUUUGUUCUACUACUUUCUCCCUUUCUCACCACUGCACAUGACUAGUCUUUA